GACGAACGCUGGCGGCGUGCCUAAUACAUGCAAGUCGAACGCAGUGGGGACGGGUGAGUAACAAGUGGGUAACCUCCCAUCAGAGGGGAUAACACUUGGAAACAGGUGCUAAACCGCUACUGAUGGAUGAACCCGCGGUGCAUUAGCUAGUUGGUGAGGUAACGGCUCACCAAGGACACGAUGCAUACCCGACCUGCGAGGGUGAUCGGCCAAACUGGGGCUGAGGAACGGCCCAGACUCCCUCGGGAGGCAGCAGGAGGGAAUCUUCGGAAAUGGACGGAAGUCUGACCGAGCAACGCCGCGUGAGUGAAGAAGGUUUUCGGAUCGUAAAGCUCUGUUGUUAGAGAAGCGGUAACUAACCAGAAAGGGACGGCUAACUACGUGCCAGCAGCCGCGGUAAUUC
rnacentral:rRNA from 1 species